UACGUAGGGGGGCAAGCGUUGUCCGGAAUUAUUGGGCGUAAAGAGCUCGUAGGUGGCUUGUCACGUCGGGUGUGAAAGCUUGGGGCUUAACUCCAGGUCUGCAUUCGAUACGGGCUGGCUAGAGGUAGGUAGGGGAGAACGGAAUUCCUGGUGUAGCGGUGAAAUGCGCAGAUAUCAGGAGGAACACCGGUGGCGAAGGCGGGUCUCUGGGCCGAUAUUGACGCUGAGGAGCGAAAGCGUGGGGAGCAAACAGG
rnacentral:rRNA from 1 species